rnacentral:rRNA from 1 species
AUUAUUGGGCGUAAAGCGUCCGUAGGUGGUUUGACAAGUCUGGGGUUAAAGCCCGGAGCCCAACUCCGGAUCGGCCCUGGAAACUGUCAGACUUGAGUAAGGUUGGGGUUGCGGGAAUUCCCGGUGUAGCGGUGAAAUGCGUAGAUAUCGGGAAGAACACCAGCGGCGAAAGCGCGCAACUGGGCCAUUACUGACACUGAGGGACGAAAGCUAGGGGAGCGAAUGGGAUUAGAUACCCCAGUAGUCCUAGCCGUAAACGAUGGUGACUAGAUGUGGCUCGAUUGACCCGAGCCGUGUCGUAGCUAACGCGAUAAGUCACCCGCCUGGGGAGUACGCACGCAAGUGUGAAACUCAAAGGAAUUGACGGGGGCCCGCACAAGCGGUGGAGCAUGUGGAUUAAUUCGAUGCAACGCGAAGAACCUUACCAGGGCUUGACAUCCUGCGAACCCUGCUGAAAGGUGGGGGUGCCUUCGGGAGCGCAGAGACAGGUGGUGCAUGGCUGUCGUCGCUCGUGUCGUGAAUGUUGGG